GCCCGGGUGGCGGAAUGGUAGACGCAGCGGACUUAAAAUCCGUUGACUGUAAGGUCGUGUGGGUUCGAGUCCCACCCUGGGCACCA
rnacentral:tRNA from 1 species